rnacentral:SRP_RNA from 13 species
AACAGCAUUUAUACAAAGACAACCGGGCCAGUAUGGUGGGGUGGGUGGGUCCAUCUUGCUGGACGGAUAUGACAGUACACUAUAAGUUGCACCAAUACUGGGAGGCUCGGUCAGCAACAGUACUGCUCCCCAUUGUCGCUUAUUGUUCGGGGCGUGACUGGAACCAGGUUGCACG